rnacentral:rRNA from 1 species
GACGAACGCUGGCGGCGUGCUUAACACAUGCCAGUCGAACGGAAAGGCCCUGCUUUUGUGGGGUGCUCGAGUGGCGAACGGGUGAGUAACACGUGAGUAACCUGCCCUGGACUUUGGGAUAACUUCAGGAAACUGGGGCUAAUACCGGAUAGGAGCUCCUGCUGCAUGGUGGGGGUUGGAAAGUUUCGGCGGUUGGGGAUGGACUCGCGGCUUAUCAGCUUGUUGGUGGGGUAGUGGCUUACCAAGGCUUUGACGGGUAGCCGGCCUGAGAGGGUGACCGGCCACAUUGGGACUGAGAUACGGCCCAGACUCCUACGGGAGGCAGCAGUGGGGAAUAUUGCACAAUGGGCGGAAGCCUGAUGCAGCAACGCCGCGUGCGGGAUGACGGCCUUCGGGUUGUAAACCGCUUUCGCCUGUGACGAAGCGUGUGUGACGGUAAUGGGUAAAGAAGCACCGGCUAACUACGUG